AGCCCCGCCCCCAGCCACAAACACUGAGCUGAGCGGAUGUGCUGCUGCUGAAGAGUUACAGAUAUUAGAGUUGUAAAAUAUUUAUUUUGGGGAAGUAAAGUCAGUUUAUUUGACUGAAGAGCUUCAUAUGGAGUAGGAGACGCGACCUAUUCAGUUCCUGACGACGUUUUUGCCGGAUUUUAAUAUUCCUGGAAACUGACUGGAACAGAGGAUCCAACCUGGAGGACAUCAGCUGGUCCUCCAGAGGGAGGAUCGUCCAAUCAUCUUGAAGAAUCCAGCGGUGUGCCCAAAUUAAUCACCCAUGCCGCCACGAGCCGCGAGGAGCGCAGAGCAGGAGGGGGCGGCAGCAGUGAUGGAGCACCGCAGGGACAGGCUGGAGACCUUUCAGUUUCACAUCUGCUGGGAUUCUGCAGUCACUUCAGCCAUGUAUAAGAAUUUGGAUAUUUUAGUGGAAGCACAAACAGCCCUGCGUCUGUGAUCAUUGGCUGCUGCUGGACGACAGAACGAUGCGCCUGCUGGCUGGGCUCAGACGCAGUCAGAGCAACGGCCUCGGGAUUUCCCGAUUCUCCUUUGUGAUUUGAUCCUGAUGCCGUUGCUUGCAGUCGUCAGAAUCCAGCCGGGAUCAGAAGGGUUUUCAGGUGCAGCAGACGAGAGCAGAGCUGCGUCUGGAUUAGCGGUCUGCAGGAUCGGCUGAAAACCAGGCUGAUUAAAAUGCCGUUGCUCAUACCUGGAACGAUUAAGACGUUUUUUAACCUUUUC